rnacentral:misc_RNA from 1 species
CCGAGUUUACAACUCCCAGACCCCUGUGAACAUACCUAUCGUUGCCUUCGGCGGAUCAGCCCCGGCGCCCUCGGGACCGGGAUCAGGCGCCGCCAGGAGGACCCCUAAACUCUGUAUUUCUUAUGUAUCUUCUGAGUAACAAGCCAAAUAAAUCA